GAGUUUGAUCCUGGUUCAGGAUGAACGCUAGCGGCAGGCUUAAUACAUGCAAGUCGAACGGGAUUCGAGAUAGCAAUAUUUUGAUGAGAGUGGCGCACGGGUGCGUAACACGUAUGCAACCUACCUUUAACUGGUGAAUAGCCCCGGGAAAUCGGGAUUAAUACACCAUAACAUUACGGAAUGGCAUCAUUCUGCAAUUAAAGAUUUUCGGUUAGAGAUGGGCAUGCGGGACAUUAGCUUGUUGGUGAGGUAACGGCUCACCAAGGCAACGAUGUCUAGGGGUCCUGAGAGGGUUUUCCCCCACACUGGUACUGAGACACGGACCAGACUCCUACGGGAGGCAGCAGUAAGGAAUAUUGGUCAAUGGGCGCAAGCCUGAACCAGCCAUGCCGCGUGCAGGAAGACGGCCCUAUGGGUUGUAAACUGCUUUUGUCAGGGAAUAAAUGUAGAUACGUGUAUUUACUUGAAGGUACCUGAAGAAUAAAGCACCGGCUAACUCCGUGCCAGCAGCCCG
rnacentral:rRNA from 1 species